rnacentral:rRNA from 1 species
UGCAGUCGAGCGGACAGAAGGGAGCUUGCUCCCGGAUGUUAGCGGCGGACGGGUGAGUAACACGUGGGUAACCUGCCUGUAAGACUGGGAUAACUCCGGGAAACCGGAGCUAAUACCGGAUAGUUCCUUGAACCGCAUGGUUCAAGGAUGAAAGACGGUUUCGGCUGUCACUUACAGAUGGACCCGCGGCGCAUUAGCUAGUUGGUGAGGUAACGGCUCACCAAGGCGACGAUGCGUAGCCGACCUGAGAGGGUGAUCGGCCACACUGGGACUGAGACACGGCCCAGACUCCUACGGGAGGCAGCAGUAGGGAAUCUUCCGCAAUGGACGAAAGUCUGACGGAGCAACGCCGCGUGAGUGAUGAAGGUUUUCGGAUCGUAAAGCUCUGUUGUUAGGGAAGAACAAGUGCAAGAGUAACUGCUUGCACCUUGACGGUACCUAACCAGAAAGCCACGGCUAACUACGUGCCAGCAGCCGCGGUAAUACGUAGGUGGCAAGCGUUGUCCGGAAUUAUUGGGCGUAAAGGGCUCGCAGGCGGUUUCUUAAGUCUGAUGUGAAAGCCCCCGGCUCAACCGGGGAGGGUCAUUGGAAACUGGGAAACUUGAGUGCAGAAGAGGAGAGUGGAAUUCCACGUGUAGCGGUGAAAUGCGUAGAGAUGUGGA